AAAAAUACAGUGAUAGAGACAUGCGACUUAUGUAAAAUCCUCAGAGAGCUAAUGGUUGGUGCAAAUUAGCGAUUUUUUGAAGUACGUUCCACUCUAGAUGUAGACAAGAGGAAAUGCUUGUACGUUCAUGCACGUUACGCAUAUUGCUAAGACUGACCUGCAAAGGUUGGUAACUUAAGGGUGGUACCGCGGAUUAUACAAUUUGUAGCCUUUCGCCCCUUAC
rnacentral:ncRNA from 1 species